rnacentral:rRNA from 1 species
UUAGCGGCGGACGGGUGAGUAACACGUGGGUAACCUGCCUGUAAGACUGGGAUAACAUUCGGAAACGAAUGCUAAUACCGGAUACGCGGCUUGGUCGCAUGACCGAGCCGGGAAAGAUGGAGCAAUCUAUCACUUAUAGAUGGACCCGCGGCGCAUUAGCUAGUUGGUGAGGUAACGGCUCACCAAGGCGACGAUGCGUAGCCGACCUGAGAGGGUGAUCGGCCACACUGGGACUGAGACACGGCCCAGACUCCUACGGGAGGCAGCAGUAGGGAAUCUUCCGCAAUGGACGAAAGUCUGACGGAGCAACGCCGCGUGAGUGAUGAAGGUUUUCGGAUCGUAAAGCUCUGUUGCCAGGGAAGAAUGCUUGGGAGAGUAACUGCUCUCAAGGUGACGGUACCUGAGAAGAAAGCCCCGGCUAA